rnacentral:tRNA from 1 species
GCAGACAGUUAAUGCACUCAGCUGCUAACUGACAAGUUGGUGGUUCGAGUCCACC